rnacentral:pre_miRNA from 1 species
AGUGGGAUAACUGGAUCAAAUGGUGGUUCCAUUUUGAGGAAUCUCCAUACUGCUUUCCAGAGUGGUUGCACCAAUUUGCAGUCCCACUAGUAAU